ensembl:lncRNA
GUGGGAGGCCCUGGGCAGCGGGAGAGGAGCCCCCAGUGGGGCCCUUGGAGAGGCUGGAGCCGUAGAGUGUGGGUCUUCUCCAGACCAGGGCUGAUUCGUUUUUUCUUUGUUUUUUGAGACAGGGUCUCACAGUGUAGCCCAGCCUGGUCUUGAAGUCAUUAUGACGCCCAGGCUGGGAUUCCAAGCACACGAGGCCAGGUUUUCCUUCAUUUUUUUACCCAUGGAUUUGAUCGACUCAAAGGGCCCCAGAGCCUCGUGGAGGAAUAGGAUCUUCGUCAUAAAGGUUUUAUUGCAGAGGGAAGACCAAGUCUUUAGCUCCGGUUAUAUUGAAUUACAUCACAUCUUUAAUCAAGGCCACUGGAAAACUACACAGAACAUUUGUUCCACAUGGCAUGGGAAAGUCGAAAAGCCCUGCAGAAAGACGCCAGUGCCCCCACCCCUUCCUCUUUGUCCUUUUGCAUUCAUACAACGACGUCCUGAAGUCACAGCCAGGAAGUGGAGCAGAGGAAGAAGUUGCAGGGUGCCAGGUGCACCGCCCCGUCCUCAGCCGUCUCCCCCGGUGGGGUCCAGGUUCCCUGAGGUGGCGAGUUUGGGAAAGGCUCUGGGCGGUUCUGCUCCCCACCAGGGCAAGCGGUGAGGAUCGAAGGAGGACAGCCGGAACCUGGGUGUACUAUGGGUGCUGAUGUCACCACCCUGGGUGGCACUCAGGUCUGGGGGUGGCAGUUCUCUUUACUAUCACGACAAAGCCAAGGCCUCUCAGACCCCAGCCCCUCACUUGGUCUGGGUACCUGGGAGCCAGGACCGGGCUGGGCACAGGGAGGUUGGUGGUAUGGUCAAGGAAGGACAUGCAGACUGCUUGGCUUGUGGGUGUUUUAAGUUUUGUUUGCUGUGUUUCUGGAUACUUGGAAAGUUAGAAAAGCAGUAUGAAAUUCCAAUGCAUAUAAACUGCCACCAGGCAUGGUGACACAUGCCUGUCAUCUCAGCAUUCAGGAGGCUGAGGCAGGAGGAUCGCUGAGUUCAAGGCCAGCCUGGGCUCCAUAGUGAGACCCUGUCCUCGCAACUCCCUCUCAAGAAAACUUUGCCAAUGCUGGAAAAUAAAG